GGUCAAUAAGCCCUCGAAAAGAUGCUCAAUAUCCUGAGUUAUUAAAGAAAUGCAAAGCAAAACCACAGUGAGAUACCACUUCAAAUCCACUACGAUAACUAUAGUAAAAAGGUGGAUAACAGCCAAUGCUGGGGAGGAUGUGAAGAUAUGGGAACCCUCAUAUAUUGCUGUUGGGAAUGUAAAGUGGUGCAUCCACUUGCGAAAAUCAUCUGGCAGUUCCUCAAAAAGUUAACCAGAGUAACAAUUUGACUGAUCAAUUCCACUCCUAGGUAUAUACCCAAGAGAAAUUAAAAAGAUCUGUUCAAACAAAAAUGUGUACACAAAGAUUCAUAGCAGCAUUAUUUAUAACAGUCAAAAAUUGGAAACAACCCAAAUGUCCAUCAACUGACGACUGGAUAAAGAAAACAUAGUAUAUACAUAAAAUGAAAUAUUGUUCAGCCAUAAAAAUGAAUAAAGUUCUCAUACAUGCUACAACAUGGAUAAACCUUGAAAAGAUUACGAAAUUGAAAUUAUAAGAUUGAGAAUAUUAUGAACUCAAGAGAACUCAGUGACAAAAGGCCACAUAUUGCAUGAUUCCGUCUAUAUGACAUACCCAGAAUAGACAAAUCUUCAGAGACAUGACGUAGAUUAGCGGUUGCCUGGGACCGGGGAGGGUGGGAGGACUGUGGAGUGGUAUAUAAAGAAUAAGGGAUUUCUUUUAUGGGUGAUGAAAAUGUUCUAAAAUUGAUUAUAGCACCAUUCUGUGGAUACUAAAACCACCGAACUGUAUAUUUUAAAUAUGUGAAUUAUAUGGUAUGCGAAUUAUAUAUAAAUAAAGCUGUUACAAAAAGACAAAAAAGACAUUGAGGCCUUCAAGAUGAUGGCUGGCUGACUGGGCAAUGAGGAAGAACAGCAGCAAAGAACCUAGAGGUGUAGUUAGGAAGGAGUUUACUCAACUUGGCUUUUAUUUCAAGAUGAAGAGCUUCUUCUGUAUUCUACACACCUGUGGGCAAACAAUGGCUCUGUUUUUGAAAAUAUAGUUUGAUUGGAACACAGCCAAUGCCCGUUAGUUACGUAUUGUCUAUGACGGCUUCGUGCUAAAAUGGAGAGUUGAGUAGUUGCAACUGACAUUGUAUGAUUGGCAAAUCCUAAAAUAUUCAUUCAUUCAUCCUUUACAGGAAAAGUUUGCUAACCCUGCUGUGUGCAGGUUGAAGCCAUCGAUGGUUUACAGGAAGAUGACUCUGGUUGCUGCUUGGAGAGCAGAUUUGAUGGAGGAGAAACAAGGAGAGAUGCUUGCCCCUGGACCCUAUGCUUUCUUCUCACAGGCCCUUGGAAUUCUGUCUACUGCCUUCUCUUCCUCAGAGCUGUCACUCUUUACUUGAACCUUCUGCUCUUCUCUCUGCUCAGGGCUAUAGAAAGAAAGGCACAGCCCAGCACUCUAUUUCCAGCUGUCCUGAGACUAAGGACACAGGCCCUUUUGUUUUGUUGGUUGAUUUUUGUUUGUUUGUGUUAUUUUUAUUUUUAAUUGAGAUAUAACAUUAUCUUACUUUCAGGUGUACAACAUAAUGAUUCAAUAUAUGUAUAUAUUGUGAAAUAAUCACCACAAUAAGUUGAGUUAACAUCCAUCACCACACAUAAUUACAAAUUUUUUUUCCUUAUGAUGAGAAUUUUAAGAUCUAUUCUCUUAGCAACUUUCAAAUAUACAAUACAGUAUUAUUAACAAUAGUCACCAUGUUGUACAUGACAUUCUCAUGACAUUUCUUUUAUAAUUGGAAAUUUGUACUUUUUUACCUCCUUCACCCUUUUCACCCACCCACCAUGCCCCACCUCUGGCAGCCUCAAUUUCUGUAUCUGUGAGUUCGUUUCGUUGUUGUUUAAAUUCCACGUAUAAGUGAUAUCAUACAGUAUUUCUCUUUCUCUGACUUAUUUCACUCAGCUUAGUGUCCUCAAGGUCCAUCCAAGUUGUUGCAAAUGGCAGGAUUUCCUUCUUUUCUUUUUUUUUUUCAAAGAUUGUCACCUGAGCUAACAUCUGUUUCCAAUCUUCUUUUUUUUUUCUUCUUCUUCUUCUCCCCAGAGCCCUCCAGUACAUAGUUGUAUAUUGUUGUUGUAGGUCCUUCUGGCUCUGCUAUGUGGGAUGCCACCUCAGCAUGGCUUGAUGAGCAGUGCCAUGUCCACACCCAGGAUCUGAACCAGCAAAAUACCAGGCUGCCAAAGUGGAGCACGUGAAUGUAACCACUUGGCUAUGGGGCCGGCCUCUGAUUUCCUUCCUUUUUAUGGCUGAAUAAUAUUCCAUUAUUUGCAUAUGUGUGCCUGUGUAUCACAUCUUCUUUAUCCAUUCAUCUAUCAAUGGACACAUAGGUUGUUUCCAUAUUUUGACUAUUGUGAAUAAUGCUAUAGUGAACAUGGGAGUGCAGAUAUCUUCUUGAGUUAAUGUUUUCAUUUCCUUUGGAUAAAUACCUAGAAGUAGAAUUGCUGCAUCCUAUGGUAGUUCUGUUUUGAAUUUUUUGAGGAACAGUGCACAAGGUUUUGCUUUUCUCCAAUUCUUGCCAACACUUGUUAUUUCUUGUCUUUUUGAUAAUAGCCAUUCUGACAGUUGCAAAGUGAUAUCUCAUUAUGGUUUUGAUUUGUGUUUCCCUUAUGAUUCAAGAUGCUGAGUAUCUUUUCAUGUGCCUAUUGGCCAUUUGUAUGUCUUCUUUGGAAAAAUGUCCAUUCAGUUCUUCUGUGAGAGAAAUGUUUUUAAAAAGUGAUACUGCUCUGGAGCUGACCCAGUGGCCCAGCAGUUAAGUUCACAUGUUCCGCUUCAGUAGCCCAGGGUUCACCCGUUCAGAUCCCAGGUGCAGACAUGGCACCACUUGUCAAGCCAUGCUGUGGUAGGCAUCCAACAAAUAAAGUGGAGGAAGAUGGGACGGAUGUUAGAUCAGGGCCAGUCUUCCUCAGCAAAAAGAGGAGGAUUGGCAGCAGAUGUUAGCUCAGGACUAAUCUUCCUCAAAAAAAAGUUGAUACUACACCAUAUUUGGAACUAUCAAAUUACCCUUUACACCUAAAAUAUAAGACCACAAGGAUGAUGAAAUAAUUUUUCUAGAGCAUAAGGUGAAUAACCGCUUUAGAGACAUGGCCCAGAGUUCCCUCAGACAUUUGGGGAGGGGCUCCAGAAGUAGGCUGUGCUGUGAGGAAGUAGCUGAGGCCCUUUGCAUCCAGAAAUCAAUUCCGGAGGCCUGACCUCAAAGGAAGUGACCCAGUUUGGGAUACUUCUCAUGCUGAUGCCAGUCUUGCUACUCUACAUUCACCAGGAAACAAAGGUCUAAAGGAUGGACUUAAAACAUAGAGUAGUGUGGUGCUCAAAAACCUGGACUAAGGAUGUAGCCUGCAGGCUUCAAAUCCUGGUUCUUCUGCUGUAUUGUAGAGCAGGGUAUUUACCCCUCAAGUGCCUCAGUGUCUUCAUGCCAUGAGACAAAAAUAGCAGCCACUCCACAAGGUUCCUGGAGGUCUAAAUAAAAUAGUAAAAAUGUGAAAUUAUUAGAACUGUGCCAGUCAUAUAAUAAGCCUUAUAGUAUCUCAUCAUUAAUGUCAUAAAAAGAGAGAUGUUAAUUCAAAGUAGGGAAGCUACUAAACAAUGAGCUAAGGUGAUUUAUUCACCUUACUUCAAAGAACCUCAAAGAACAACAUCUGAAAGAACAAUAACUAUAACAUAUAUAUAUAUUUUUUUUUUUAAAGCCACUCACAUUGGCUGAGGUCCACAUCAUGCAGAAGUACCUAGAGACAAAAUAUGGACUAGGUGACCCUGCUGAGUACUUGGACAGCCAAGGACUGUAACAAUUUCUGGAGAGAAGGAUAUGAGAGUAGAAAGGCCUGGAAGAACUGAGGCCAAUGAAACAGCAAUAACAGCCAAGACUCUGUCAUUGCCCGCAUCAAAUGAUUAGAGUUCAGAGGUACGAUGAGCUGACAAGAUUGAAGUCAUCCACACUCUACCUGUUCAGAUGCACCAACC
rnacentral:lncRNA from 1 species